CGGAUCCGCCGGUGAGGAGGCCGGGGUCACUGGAUCCGGUGGCCUCGGCCUCCUCACGGGCCACGACGA
rnacentral:pre_miRNA from 1 species